AACAAACGCUGGCGGCGUGCCUAAUACAUGCAAGUCGAACGGGGUAGCAAUACCUAGUGGCGCACGGGUGAGGAACGCGUGGAUAAUCUGCCUUAGAGUGGGGGAUAACUAGUCGAAAGAUUAGCUAAUACCGCAUAAGACCACAGGAGCUGCGGCUCUAGGGGUUAAAGGUUUUUCGCUCUAAGAUGAGUCCGCGUAAGAUUAGCUAGUUGGUGAGGUAACGGCUCACCAAGGCGACGAUCUUUAACUGGUCUGAGAGGAGGAUCAGUCACACUGGAACUGAGACACGGUACAGACUCCUACGGGAGGCAGCAGUAGGGAAUAUUGCACAAUGGAGGAAACUCUGAUGCAGCGACGCCGCGUGAGUGAUGAAGGCCUUCGGGUCGUAAAGCUCUGUCGCAGGGGAAUAACACAAUGAAUGUACCCUGUAAGAAAGGAUCGGCUAACUUCGUGCCAGCAGCCGCCGUAAUAC
rnacentral:rRNA from 1 species